UAGGGAAUCUUCCGCAAUGGACGCAAGUCUGACGGAGCAACGCCGCGUGAGUGAAGAAGGAUUUCGGUUCGUAAAACUCUGUUGUUAGAGAAGAACAGCGCAUAGAGUAACUGUUAUGCGUGUGACGGUAUCUAACCAGAAAGCCACGGCUAACUACGUGCCAGCAGCCGCGGUAAUACGUAGGUGGCAAGCGUUGUCCGGAUUUAUUGGGCGUAAAGCGAGCGCAGGCGGUCAAUUAAGUCUGAUGUGAAAGCCCCCGGCUCAACCGGGGAGGGUCAUUGGAAACUGGUUGACUUGAGUGCAGAAGAGGAGAGUGGAGUUCCAUUUGUAGCGGUGAAAUGCGUAGAUAUAUGGAGGAGCACCAGUGGCGAAGGCGACUCUCUGGUCUGUAACUGACGCUGAGGCUCGAAAGCGUGGGUAGCAAACAGG
rnacentral:rRNA from 1 species